GGCCGCGCUUCUUUCAGCCGCCGGAGGCUCCUCACGGCGCUAGAGGGAGCCCCGGGCCCGGAGCGGGCGGCGGCGGCCGGACCGGGAGCCCCUCCGCACCUGCCCCUCUGGCGGAGCGGCGAAGAGCUAAGCGACGGCGGCGACGGCGGCUUGGAGUGGGGAGGGCAAGAGACCCGGAUGUACAGGGUAACGGCGAAGGGGGAGGGGGGAGUGCCAGGAAGUGAGGGCGCCGCGGACCUGUCCGGCCGUGCGCAUGCGCCGCGCGACCGCUGCGCAAGGUCAACAGGCUCAGAAAGAGACCAAGGCUCUGAGCUAAACCCAGGGAGACGCCGCAUUCCAGCAUCCCGCACCUGAAGAGGCCUGGCUCCUGGCAGCAAGCCUUUCCCCUCGGGCCUGGAGGAUGCAUAUGAAAACACAAAUCUUUAUACGAUGAUUUCCGACUCAUGAACUUAGGGACAGUUGGAAACCCUAAUCAUAAACCCUUUACUCCGGAACAGAGAUCAUUUGAGAACCACCGGCCUUAAUAAAUGUAGCCAGUUAAUCUGGUGUCUUCUACUGUAUGUAGUAAGCCUUUGUCUUGGUCAGUCCGUCUGCCUCUUCAAUUUCAUGAAGACAAUAUAGUAUGCAAUAGAGUCAGGAGAGCCUGGGGGGUGGGGUAGCAUACAUUAAGGGCAAGAAUCCUACAUCUCCGAUCUUAUACUUAAGGAGGCUUUGGAUUAGACAAUAUAUUGGGGGUUUUUUAACUUUUUAUUAAACUGAAUGAUAGAACUAUCCUCACCAUCCAAUAAGGCUUGGCCCAUUUAUCUGACACACACUGGCAUUCAUUAGCCCAUAUAACACCAUGUAUCUGACUGAUCCCUCAGACAUCAGUUCAGGGCAACCACACAGCAACUGCAGAAAUCUCUCCCAUGAACAUCCAGUUUAGCUAGAACAUCUCCAACCAAAAGGAGCGCAUCACAGCAGUUGUCAGCUUCUUGUCUGAGGAACCUCAGACUUCACACUGCUAUCUUCAUCCACUGGCCUUAAUGCUAUCUGUGGGAAUCAAAAGUGGACAUUGACCUGAGGUGCUUAUACUCCGAGAAGAGUUGGCUAAUUACUAAGAACAAUAGGUCAAGUCCUGCUGAGAGCACGGAAUGCUCCUUUCAGAGCAGCUUCCCCUUCAUCGGCCCAGGACCCAUUUCUGGACAUAGUGAGAACAUAAGCAGGCUCCACCAUAGCCCAUGUGCAGAAAACUGGCUCAGGAAACAAGCCCCCUCCCCCUACAAGAAAGGCUAAAUUUAUUCUUCCACAGCUCUUUCUCUGUCCUUCUGCCUAACCACGAUCACUUUUCAUUCAGCUGAGGCCAAAGGUUUAGAAGUUUUAGGUUACAAAAGCAAGCAGAAGGACACCAAGAAGAUGUUUGCGAAAGAGGGAUGGCCAGUUAGAGACGUUGCAGUCAUGGCAGCUACCUCAGAUCUCUGGAAUCCUAACACUACUUACACAGCGCCAAGCAUUGUACUCAGCCUUUGACUUGCAUUUCCUCCUUUGCUUUUCAUAGACAUCCCAUCUGGUACUGUUUUCAUGUCCGCUUUGUAAAUGAGGAAUGUGGGGUUCAGUAUGUGACAGUUCCAGGAUUCGAACGCAAUCUGUCAGCUCCGAGAUCUGUCUGCUUCGCCACAUAUACUACACUCCGUCUACGUUCUCAAAUUUCAGAAGAUCCCACUGCUUGCUUUAAAUGCUGUUUUCUUUUACAUUUUUAUGAUUAGAUCCAUUUUAAAGCAUGAUGAUGAUAGAGCUAGAGAGAUGCUCAGCAGUUAAGAACACUUAACUAUUCUUACAGAGGAUGUGUGUGUGUGCGCGCACGCGUGCGUGUGUGCAUGUGUAUGUGUGCAAGUGCAUGUAUCACUUUCUAUUACCCACAUCAGGCCACUCACAACUGUCUGUCAUUUUACACUUCUAGGGAAUCUGAUGCUCUUAGGCCUUCACAAGCACAUGUAUACACACAGGGUUACACAUGCAUAUGUAUAUGUACACAUGCACGCACACACAUGAAAAGGAAUAAAUCUUUGUACUGUUAAGAUAAACUAUUCUGUUCCAUCAACAUUUUGACCUAUCCCCUCUCUCAUAUCCCUGGAAUCACGGGAGGGUCUGAGGGAGGGUCUGAGGUAGAGAAUACAUUGUCCCUCUUUGAGGUCUCUGGAGGUUUCUAUGAGAGAGCAAGAGCUUCGCAAUGGUAACAGAGAAUGUUGCAAGGUAUGUCGUAAGAACAAGCCAACUCUACUUGGAACAGCUCUGAAGGUCUUGCCAAAGCUGGGGCCUUUGGAGUUGGUCCUUAAGAAUUGAGGAAAGAAGAAAUAAAAUCUUAAAAAUAAAUAAAAGAAUUGAGGAAAGGACAAGAAAAGGGUGCAGCAAGGGAGCAAGAGCAGUCUGGGAGACAAAUGGGGUAGGAGAGAAGGACAAUAAGAAGCCAAAGUCAUGGCAAAUCUUAACACAGUGACAGGAAAAGAGAUACUUGUAACCAAGGGAGAAACAGAAUCUGAUAUAUUUCCUAUCAAGACCACUUGGAACACGAUGUCCAAAUGGGCUCACUAUGGGAGACAAUAGAGGCCAGGAGGCCAGCUGAGAGACUCUGGAGGGGCUUAGUCGUAGAACACUUGGCUGGCAUGUUCAAGGUCCUGUAGAUAUCGUUCUCAACCAAGGAAAGAAAAAAUGCUAAAAUUAAGAUAUGCAAUCAUGUAUUUCCCUGAGUUUAUAUGACUGACUGAAACUGGGGUCAUAGGAAACAGGAACUGUAGGGACACUGAGCAAAGGGUUCUUAGCUGAGGACAUCAGUGGAUGGUGUCACCAUCAGGUCCCAAUUACCUUUACCCAGUUUUCAUGCCUCUUCUCCAACCUUUAUCCAUGCAGACACACACUGCUUUAACUGUUAUCUUGAGAUGAACAUAACUAUUUCCCAAGCCCUUCUCCCUUCCCCACAGAUGCACUUAGCACUUACCAGCUAUAGAGCAUUUCAUCACACUGUAAUAGCCCAGUUCCCUUCCAUUGCUGUGUCCGCAUCCAACAGCCAGCUAACCCUAGACCCGCUCACAAUGGGGAUUUUUGCAAGGGCAGUAUAAAGCCAAGAGAAAGAGUCUUUAGGUAAAGGGUUGUGGGAAAGUGUGGCCUCAGGGCCAGCAGACUACAACACUCCCUAGGGAGAAAAGGCUUGUACAACUGAAUUACAUGUAAACGUUGAACAACUCUGGGGGUGCAGGGGACAUACUGACAGAUAGUUCCCCACAGAAGCCGUUGUAAAAUGUCCUCAUCCCAUCGAGUUAUUCUUUCCUUUCAUUCAUUCAUUCCCCCCAUGUGCAUUCUUGGGAAGCACAGGGUAAUAACAGAGCCAAAGCCACUUCAGAACUCUGGAUUGUGCAGCUCUAGAUGUGCGUCAGGUUCAAUACCUGCUCCAGGACUUACACAAAUUCAACCUCUUCCAGCGUCAGUUUCUCCAACAAUGUCAAACAGUCUCCCUUCCUUCCUGACAACUUCCUGAUUCUUGCCACUGCACCCAGCAUUUCCAGGCAAGCCCAUGGCGGGGAGGAGGCACAUAUCAAAGUUCAGAGCCCGAGUACCAGUGAACGAGGGCCAUUCGUUCAUAUCUCCAACCUCUCACUUCCUACCUGGCCUGGGGAUAGGAACUUAGCUACUUUCCAGGAAUGGCAUGAGCUCUCAGAAAUACUGUACAGGGAGACACUUUCUGACCCCAAAGAGUUUGUCCUUAUGGCUGCUAAGGCAGCCAUCUCGGCUUCUUUUUUUUUUUUUUUUUUGAGGAUGAAUUGUGACCACAUAAUUCCCUGGAUUAUAAAUGCUGGGUCAGAGUCUAAACACAUUUAUUGUCUUUAAGCUACAUCACCCAGUUUCCUUACAACCCACAAGGCAUGCACACUCAGAAUGUGUAAACCCACAUUCUGAGACCAGCUUUGCUCAGCUUCCCAUUCUCUGACAUUCAGGGACUGGGCUCAUUGUCCCACAAGGCACUCUUGUGCAGCACUGGCUCACAGCAGAGCCAAAGCCACCUCACAAUUCCGGUUGCAGCCAGGUGAGAUUCAAACCGUGCUCUAUAAUCUCUCCCUUCCUCUUCCCAGGAUAAGCAAACAGGGAACUUUCAAGGUCAGAGGUCCUUCCAACCAUCUCCUCCACAGCCAGGGCUUCCAAGCAGAGACUCCAUGAUCCUCUAGUGGAUGAGGAGCCAAUCAAUAUUUGAUGAGAACAGUGAGGCCCGGGAUACAGCUGGAAGCUCAUUUCACACUGGAGGAAGAUAUCGCAACUGCCAUUUCAAAAGAACCGAAGACGAAGCCACCCAAUCAAACUCAAGACCUUUUCGCUAUUUAGCAAAACAUUAGCCAGUCCCCUGAAGCCCCUGAAGUCCUCAUGGCCAAGCUCCCCUUAAGUUAAAAGUAUGAGUCCCGGUCACAUUUCCAAAUGGAACACAUUCUCACAGAGGAGGUGUCGAAGGCUCUUUUUCCAGCCCUCUUAGUGAACUACAUCAAGGAAAAAGGACCCCAUCAGCCUGCAUCAGCCCUGACAUCUCAGAACCGCACAUCCGCUUUCUCUCCCCAUGGCUGUGUCUCAGUUCUUGGCUGCAAAGAUUCUUGCCAGACCCCUUCCUAAAGAUGAACCCCUACUUUCCCUCAUUCACCCUCAGAGCACUUAACUUUCAUAAACUGUCAUUUUUAAUGUUUCUCAGCUUAAAAAGGAGAGGAGGAGGAAGAGGAGGAGUAGGAGGAGGAGGAGGAGGAAGAGGAGGAGGAACAGGAAGAGGAAGCAGGCUCUGCCACACUGGUACUACCAGGAGCACUGCAGUCCCUGCUACAAUGCCCAACUGCUAGAAGACUCCCCACAAAUAUAAGGCAUGAUUCACCAGAGGGCCGGGCAGUAACUGAGAUGCUGUGGACCUCUUUACCGUUUUUUCCCACUCCAAUGAGUAAUAUGUUGAUGGAAAGAAAAAUUUGAAAAUACAUAUGAGCAAAAAGAAAAAUAUAUAAAUAUUCACGAUCCAACCACCCACAACAUAUGGAUACCCUUCCAAAUGCUAUUACAUAUCUAUAUAAUGAAAGUGUAUUUUUGUAAGAAUGUCUCAUAUCUGAAUACUGAUCUGCUGUGUUCUACCUCACAGCAUAUCUUAGCUACCCCUCCUCAAUGACUGUACUACAGUUACACCACUGUUAGGGGCUAUAUAAUAGCUCACCAUAUAGACACGGCAAUGGAAUAUGUAACCAGCUGAGUCUGAGGUAAGGUAAACAAGGGCUUUCUUCAGUGUCACAGAAAGGAAAGGCAUCACCGCACCUAUCUCCUGACAGGCUUCCCACCUUCUCCCCUUGUUUGUAUUGCUUCAGCGCUGUAUUUCCACACAGCUGUGCUCCCUACCGCCCAUUCACCACCUGGAGCUAUUAGCACCCCAAGGAGCAGACUGGAACUGGGAAAGCUGAAAUUCGAGGGGACGAUGGCUCAGAGUUCAGCAUGGGAAUCUGCUGCUGGGACAGGCGACAGCAAUGCCUUCCAGCACCAUCAUGAGGAUUCGACUUGGGCUCCACCAAGAAACUCAGGAACAAAGAGUUCAUCUAUCUGCAGGAAGCUUCACUGUGCUCACUUUCUCCUUUUCUUUCGGCUCGAAUUUAACCAAAUCCCUCAGUGUCCAGGCUCCAUUUGUAACCUAACCUUCACCCUACCAAUAGCCACUCUGCCAUUCUGAUGAUUGGGACCAAAUGGGAGUGUCAAUAUUCAAACUGUCUUCGGCCUUAGGGAAGAGAACAGCAGUUAAACACAGUAAAAACUCAACAGAAGAGGAACGAUCCACACUCAGGCGGGUGGUACCAGCUCAUGGGUUGGGGUCUCAUACUGAAUACAAAGGAGAAGCUGCAAGUUGGGCAGCAGCGAUCACCUCCGCUCCCCGACUGUGGAUGAAACUGGCCGUCUCAGGCUCUGGCUACUGUGAGAUCCUCACCACAGUGGACCGUGUCUUCAGCCUGUGAGCCUUCCUUCUCAGCUAGAUAUUUUGUCAAAGGCAAAAAGUAACUAAAAAUGACGGUUUCUGACAUUCCCAGGUUCGUGUUCAGACUUGGAAGGCUGUCGACACAGGCUGCGAGUCAGUCUGGGCUCAGCCAGGCCUGAAUGUUUUGCUCACCUGAAAAGAGAGGGACGUGCAGACACUUGCUGCCAGAGACACAGCACAGUCCCUGGCACACGGAAGAACUCAGUCAAUGGUGGCCUCUCCUUCUUGUCUCAUUAACUGUGGGCUUACUAAUUUCACUCAGGUGUGCUGGUGUAAAGUGCUCUUUGCAGCACUAUUCACAGAAAUAAGAAUAAGCUGCAGGAAAUGGCACUGUAGCACUCUAAGCAGAGCUUUAGAACGAAUGAAAACUAUCUUAACUACCAGGUCUCGAGCAAGGCAUUUCUUUUCCUUGAAUCUGUUUGUUCAUCUCUGAGUAAAGGGUUUGUCCUCGGUGACUCACACAUUCUCUGUGCAUAUAGUCCUGACAUUCCAAAUACACUAUAGUGCGCUGACAGCAAGGAUCAUAUAUGGUUACUAAGUACACAGGAACAGAAGAUACUUUGUAAUUCUUCAUAGACAUACUGUUUUCUCCACAUGUUGAUACCUCCUGAGAAAGCACACCGAGUAUCUACUGUCUCUCUCCAUGAACUCGACCUACAUGUGUAACACCUGCUGUGGUCUGGUUUGUCCCCUAAAACAAUGCCUGACACAUAGUAGGAGUUCAUUUGCUGAUUUAAAAUUUCUGAGUAUUGGGGCUGGAGAGACAGCUCAGUGGUUAAGGACAUCCCGCUGCUCUUGCAGAAGACCCCAGUUAAGUUCGCAUCACCCACAUAGAGGAUUUCAACUGUCCAGAGUUUCAGUUCCCAGGGAUCCACCACCACCUCCUGACCUCUACAGCACAUAUGCAGUACAUAUAAAUACAUGCAGGCAAAACAUUUCACACACAUAAAAUUUUCAAUUUUUAAAAAAGUUUUAUGGUUAUUGGGAGGUGGGAAAGUAGCUUCCUUACAAAAGUGCUUGCCUAGCAUUAAUGAAGCCUUGGUUUCCAACCCUAAUACCACAUAAACUGGGCAUGGUGAUGAAUGCUAAUCUAAUCCUAGCACUCAGGAGGUAGACGGGAGUAUAAGAAGUUCAAGGCCAUGCCUUGCUAUAAUAAACUGAGAUCAAGGCCAACCUGAACUAUCUGACACCUUAACUCAAAACAAAAAAAUGUAUGACUAUGAAGUGAAAAGAAUAAAGGGCAAAAUUGUCUAGACCACAGGAUGCUAUUUCUAUACACGAUCUCUGUCCCGAUCUGUGGGGAAGGACCAGAGAAGUUAAAAUCCUGUGAUAACAGGGUGGGAGUAGGGAUGAAUCCUUUAAUUUCUUGAAAGGUCUGUUGUUGUUCAAAGGAUGGCAACUGAAAUGGGAAGGCUGUAGGCAGGACAAACACAGACAUGGCCAAGGGAUACGGAAAGAGCUGGAAGGAAGCACACGGCAGUACAGAGAGCCAGCAGCCCAGAGAAGACUCCUGGCUGGUAAUCUAUUAAUGGAAACAGGAUCACAGGGGAAGAGAGAAAAGUAGGUAAUAUGACACCAGUGAAGAAAAGCCAAUUUACCUGAAGGUUUUAAUUACAAGUUAAUAUCUAUUAAACCAUUCCCAGGUGCACACCAUUUCUCCCCAUUAAUUGCCUUGGUCAAUGGACGCUUCAGUGACUCUAUGCACAAACAUGCACUUGGGGCUGUCACAUGGUAACUGUUCUGAGUCCCUACGUGCUUUGUGACCUACUGCCGCAGUUGCCAUUGAUUGGCGUCUCACAGACAGAAGCUCACUGAUGAGCUGCAGCUAUUUCUUUAAACAUGUAGCCAGCACAUUCCAGCCUGUGUCACACACUGCUGGGGGUCACCCAGAAUUACGAGAAGUAGCCUUCCCUUCCAGGGAUGAAAGAUACACUAUUCACUCCAGUGCAGUGCUUUGCAACCACAAAUACUAAAGAUAAAACAUCCUGUAAACUUAAAAAGUGGGAACUGUUCCCCCAGCUUCAAGAAGUCGGGCGGAAGGAGAAGACCCACAAAGGCCUCAUCCUACGUUUCCUUAAGACACAGUCAUGCUGUUUGUCAGCUGGAUCUUGAUGCUUCUCUAGUGCCCCCUUACACUUGGGACGACAUGCUUGCUGCCUUCGACACCUCCAGCCCCCACCUGCCUGAACCCUUUGCCAAGUCCAGCAAUUAUGUUGAGAAAACCAGGUCAGAUCCCUUACUGUGCAUGCUCUCAAAAGCCUCGGUGCUUGUUGACAGUCUUCUACUACUGUGAUGGUGUGACGGUUUCUUGAACACUAGGAGCUUCCUGUAUGCAAAGGCCAUUCCAUCUUGCUAACCCAGUACUCCUGAAUCAGCACUGACUCUGGUAUAAACCCCGACACAAAGCAUGUUCCCGGCACAAAGCUGCAGCCAUAGUCAGGGGCAUAUGUGGUCAGCAGUGCUGACUUACUCCAGUCUGGGAGCUAAUGUCACUCCAGUCCUAAAACCAAGAGCUCAUUUAAGCACCACAGAGAAAUGAGUUGAAUAGCACUCACAAGUAACCUAAAGGAUUAGUCAUUAGCUCUAGACACUGGUAUGUGAAAUUCAUAACUUUGAACAGCAUAUCAGGAUAACUCAUAGACAAGCUAAAAAUAUAGGCGAACUUAGCUUCUCACAGUUACUUUUUCAAGUUAGAGAUACUGCAUAAGGAGGGGAGGAUAUCAAUAUGGUCUAUGUCACAAAGAAGCUCAACUUGUUUAGCUAGCUCCCUCUCUAAAACCCUGGUACAGGUUUCAUGUUAGAGCACAGACACCAAAAGACUGCAUCCCUUCCUCAGCUGCAAAGGAGAAGAACAAAACCUUUAGCCUAAGCCCUAGGCCUGCCUUGACCCAUGAAUUCAGAGAAAAUUCUAUCCAUUUCUAUGCUUAAGAUUUUUGUGUAACAGGUCACUUGUUUUGUGUGUGCCAAUAUCUUAGUUUCCUUUCCUGUUGCUGUGAAAAUAUGUGCUGACAAAACAAACUUAGGGGUUAAAGGGUUUAUUUCAGCUCACAGCUCCAGGUCACCCUCCAUCAAGUAGGGAAGCCGAGACGGCAGGAACUUGAGAGGAAUGGUCACCUUACAUCCGCAGGCAAGAGCAGAGCAUGCUCUUGUGCAUGCAUGCCUGUGCUAAGCUUGCUUUUCCACUGUAACAAACUUCAGGACCCAUGCCUAGGGAAUGGUGCCACCCACAGUGGGUGGGUUUUCCCUCCUUAGAUAACCAUCUUCAUAUGUGCCCACAAGCCAACUUGACCUAAACAAUCCAGACAACAACUCUUCACUGAGACUCUUUUACCAGGUGACUUUUUCAAGCUGACAAAACUAACCACCGUAGCCUACUGGGUUUCCAUUGAACUCCCUAAUUUUUGAAGGCAAGGAAAGUCAUCUUUAAUGUUUUACAUUUUAAAAAAACUGAGGGCCCAAGGUGUCAAGAAACUUGUCUGCUGGUUAUGAGGAGCACAAUCCAAACCACCCAUCCCACUAGACCUGGGAUCUAGGCCAUGUAGCUCACAGAUGCUCAUGUCUACACUGCCAGAGAACAACAGAGUUUAUGAUCAAAACUCCCUGAGGCAUGAACAAGAGUCCUGUUUUGUUCUUUCUCUCUCUCUUUUUUAAAAUAAUUACUAAUAAGCAAUGUGCAACUCUUGGUUUGGUAUCUGGUAUUAUUUUUGGGGACAAAUUUGGGAUGUGGGGGGGGUCCAUGAAAUCAUCUUUAUCUAGCCCUUCGUCACACGAAUGUCUUUCACUGAAAAAAAAAAAAGUUAGGAGAUGUGUCUGUUGCUUGAUAAAACACACAAGGGGAAAUGCCCAUUUGGUGGACUUUCCCAGUCUCCACGGAGGUAGGAAAUAAUGCUGUCCCUGAGGUAACUCUGAGCGAGCUACAGCGCUCCUGUCUAUACCAUUUCCUGCUGCUGUGCUUUUGCCCAGCUCUCCUGCUCUCCCAGGAGCACCUUCCCUAGGGCUCUCCCACCACCCCACAGAACUCUUACAUCAAAGCUCCAGUCAGAACUCUACACACCUUGGAUAACCACGGCUCUUUUUUACACUCGACAGUAACCCACGGACCUAUCUAUGCCUCCCCAUCCUUCUGGUAGCGACUAUAUGAGCUUCACAGAGCACCAAGACAUGCACUGAGAAAAGUGCUGCAAAAACACGAGGCAGUGUUUUACUAAUUGAUUUAACCUGGUUUCUUAAGACGUGCACAGUGGUUUUCACAGAAAAAUCAACCGGACUAAGAUUAAUAGCCUGGUUUACUGUGCUCUUUCCUCCUCCCAAGCCACAAGUCAAAAUAAACUCGCCCUCAGUGCACAACUUUGCAGAAUAUGGUCUUGAACAUUGACGCCUCCAUCCACUGUGGUUAUUAAAAGGAUGGCUGUAUCCACCAGGAUGUGAACAGAUUAUUCUGUGGUAACAACGGAAACCUUAAUCUCGGACUCAAGAUGACCGCAGUGGUCUCUCGGGGGCAGGGAAUAAAGACAAGUGCCCUUUACCUGCCAAUCAGUCAGCUCCUCAGACAUCAGACUGAAGGUACAUUGGCCCUCCUUUCUUCUCCAGCCUCCCACAGAGAACUAGGACUAGUGGGAACAUCUAUAAAAACUCAGCAGAUGGCCUGGCCUAGAGACGUCAGCCAUUACCAUUGUCACUGUCAUGAUCCCCAUUCCAUAGAGAAUAAUCCCCAGACCAUAAUCAUGGUAUAGUCAUCACACAGCACUGUUGCAGACUCUGUCUGCAACUGGAAUGAGCUGAAGAGCCUAAAAACUAAUGACUUUGGCUGGUGAGAUGGCUCACUCAGUAAAGUGCUUGGCCUACAAGCGGGAGGACCAGAGUUCGAUCCUCAGCACCAACAUUAAAGAGCUAGCUGGUGUGGUGUAUGUGCUUGUAAUCUCAGCAACAAAGAGACAGAGACAGGUAGAUCCCUAUGGCUCAACCUGCCAGCCUGGCUUAAUUGGCAAGUUCUGAGUCAGGUAAGAGACUCUGCCUUAAAAACCAAGGAGCACAGUAUCUAAAGAAGGAUAACGCCCAAGGAUGAUCUCCACAGGUAUACACACCACACACACAUACACACACACACACACACACACACACACACACACACACACAGAGAGAGAGAGAGAGAGAGAGGGAGAGAGAGAGAGAGAGGGAGAGAGAGAGAGAGAGAGAGAGAGAGAGAGAGAGAGAGAGAGAGAGAAUGCUUAUUCCCAAAGUCUAUAAAUUAAGCCUGCUAAUAUGUUGUCUCCAUCUUUGAAUUUAAAAAGCUCUGUGGUUGAUUCUAGCCUGCAGACAAGUCUGGAAACCAAGGUUACAGAAGCAGCAAGACUUCUCUUCACAUACAUACACACACAUACAAAUUGACGUCUCAGGCGGGUAGGUGGGUAGGUGGGGGACAUCAACCCCCGGUCUCUAGGAGCUGUGGUUACAACAAAGUAAAGACAGGUUCUGCUGUCCUGGGUCAAUAUGAAUCCCACACCUAAUGACAGCCAUUACAGUCAGUCUCUAGCUAGGGUCAACAAGUUUCAACAACCUUUUUGAAAGAUAAAAUGUCUACCUGACAUUUAACCCUAAGCCCACCCACAGGCAUUUCUCACACCCUGUGUUACUUGACACCUUUUCUAGGUCCCGCUGAACCAUUCCACCGUGUUCAAGGUCAUCGGAAUUCCAAAAUUACAAGGAUGAGAACGGAGGGAAGGGAACCCAGGGAGAGGAGGCCCACCAAUGGCUGUUUAUUAGGAACAGGGGUUGCUGAGCUUUGAACUCCUCUUUGUCCAUGACCCAGAACAGUAAGCAAAGAACGUAAGGGAAACACAGGUAGGUAAAGCACCAUUCAGUAAAAAUCUUGAAGAGGGAAAACGGACACAAGAACUCAAAAAAAAAAAAAAAAAAUAGGAGACAGCACCUAAGUUACUGUUGGAAUCUUUGUCAACUUAGCACCAACUCCAACAUGCCUGACAAGAAGGAAUCUCAACUAAGAAAUUGCCUCAUUCAGACGGGCCUAUGCCAGAGGUUCUCAACCUAUGCAUUGUGACCCUUCUGGGGGGUCUAAUGAGCUUUUCACAGGGGUCACAUAUUUAUCAGAUAUUCACCUUACAAUUCAUAUCAGCAGCAAAAUCACAGUUAUGAAGUAGCAACAAAAACAGUUUUAUGGUUGGGGGGUCCAUCACAACCUGAGGAACUGGAUUGAAGGGUUGCAGCAUUAGGAAGGUUGAGAACCACUGGCCUAUGGGUAUGUCUAUGAAGUAUUCCCUUAAUGGUUAAUGUAGGAAGGCCCAGGCCACAAAGAGCUAUACCAUCCAUGGGCAGGAGGACCUGGGCUGCAUUAAGAAAGGUACCUGAGCAAGCCAGUAAGCAGGAUUCUUCCAUGGUCGCUUCUUCAGCUCCUACCUGUCCCUGCCUUGGCUUUCCUUGCUUAGAGAUGGCAACCAGUAAGCCAGCCAAACAAACCCUUUCCUCCCCCAGCUUGCUUUCUGCUCAUCACAAGAGAAAGAAAACUGGGACAUUUACAAAACCUCAUUCCUCAGGUAGUCACCACCAACCAUUUGGGUCUCCACUUUUCUUUCAUUUCUCUUGAGAUAAGUGUGUUUCCUGGGGUACAGAGAGGUAAGUAAGGGGCCUCUGAACAAGCAGGUGCCCUUUCACCUGUCCACUAUGUUCAGGGCAGGCACGCUCCACACAGAGCACACAGCACAGAGCACACAGCACGCUUGUAUCCUGCACCAGCACAAAGUGAUUUCAACAAGUCAGCUUCCUGCGCUGUGGGAUGUUGUCUCUGCAGUAUCUGGAGAAAAGCAGAAAACCCUGCUGUUUGCCUUUGCUUUGGCAGUUUAAUUCAGGACUCCCACUAGCUUUAUGUAAACUCUUUGCCAACAUGAAAAGGCAGUCUGCAUUGUUGGAGGCACAGUUUACUUGGGCCCGGGGGAAGGAGGCAUUGUAUAGAUUACAUAAUGGUUACUCUAUUGCUUAAGAAAACAAAUGGCAGCCUCCGGCAGAGAAGUUUAAAAAAAAAAAGAGAAAAACCCAUUUGGGUAAAA